ensembl:snRNA U6 U6 spliceosomal RNA
GUGCUCGCUUCGGCAGCACAUAUACUAAAACUGGAACAAUACAGAGAAGAUUAGCAUGGUCCCUGUGCAAGGAUGGCACGCAAAUUCAUGAAGCAUUCCAUAUGUUU